GAUGAACGCUGACAGAAUGCUUAACACAUGCAAGUCUUUGGCGAAGCUGUGCUUGCACAGCCUAGCCAAGGCGGACGGGUGAGUAACGCGUAAGGAACUUGCCCUGCAGUCAGGGAUAACAGACGGAAACGACUGAUAAGACCUGGUAAAGUCAGGCGGACUCAUGUCCAGCCUGAUGAAAAGAGAUGCUGCAGGAGAGCCUUGCGUCCUAUUAGCUUGUUGGUGGGGUAACGGCCCACCAAGGCGAUGAUAGGUAGCCGGCCUGAGAGGGUGGACGGCCACAAGGGGACUGAGAUACGGCCCUUACUCCUACGGGAGGCAGCAGUGGUGAAUAUUGGACAAUGGGGGCAACCCUGAUCCAGCAAUUCUGUGUGCACGAUGAAGGUUUUCGGAUUGUAAAGUGCUUUCAGCAGGGAAGAAAAAAAUGACGGUACCUGCAGAAGAAGCGACGGCUAAAUACGUG
rnacentral:rRNA from 1 species